CCCAUUCCAAGUGUUUGGUUGAUCGGAAUGGGAAUCCCUCGUAUUGGGGAAUGGCCAUUCCCGACCCCUCCCCAAGGAAUUGUCGUCGAACAGAGGUUCCGAGUAGAACUCCAAGCCAUCUUCCAUCGCCAAACAGAGAGCUGUACCAGUCUGGAGAUGAACAUGCAAAUGACACUCCUAUAAAUGCUGAGGCCACAAAGACAAGUGAAGAUGAUAAAGCACCAGAGAAAAUGGAAGGAACAGAUGAUGAAAAGGAGCCCUCUUUUGAUGAUUUGGUAAAACUUGUUGACGAGAAGGAAGAACAGUUGAAGGUGAAGCACAAGGAGAUUGAGAAAUACAAAAUAAAGUUCCCCGUACUUAUGCAGAAAUGGAAAAUGUAAUGGAUAAAAUAAAACGUGAAGCAGAGAACUCUAAAAAAAUUGCUAUUCAGGUUGGUGACUUCUUUUCACCUCUACAUGGCUAAUGAUCUUUCAAACGGCACUAUGGAUUUCUCUAUCAAAAUAUUUGGCUAUGUGCCUACACUAUUGGAGCUGUACCAUUUCUGAAAACACUUCUGGAAGGUGUUGAGAUGAUUGAUAAGCAGCUUGUAGAGGUUACACAUUCAACUUGUAUGGCUCAUGGCUUUCUUGGUUUUCAACCUAAGGGGGACAACAGUGAUGAGAUAUAUCAUAUGUAUGCAUGGAUACAAGCAUAUAGUUUUUUCUUUUUUGUUCUUUCAUUAUGCUGGAAGAGAGGAUAAAUGAACACCUUUGAUACCACCUUACUGUAUCGCAUGAAUUGUGGCAGCAAUGCAAUGUUAUUUUUUCUAUGCAACUCUGCAUGGAUGGGUUUUGGUGAAGGGUCAUCCAUUUUUCUACAAAUUCUGAAGGGUAAACUUUUUGUAGAUGGGUUUUGUGAGAAAUUGUUGAACA